GACGAACGCUGGCGGCGUGCUUAACACAUGCAAGUCGAACGGUCAAGCUCCAGCUUUCUGGCUUGGAUCAUUGGCGAAUGGGUGAGUAACACGCGAGCAACCUGCCCCUGUCUCUGGAAUAAGCCCUGGAAACGGCGUCUAAUACUGGAUACGAUAAUUGUCCGCAUGUGCACUUUCUGUAAAGUUUGUCGUUUUGGUAUGGGCUGGCGGCCUAUCAGCUUGUUGGUGAGGUAAUGGCUCACCAAGGAGACGACGGGUAGCCGGCCUGAGAGGGCGACCGGCCACACAGGGACUGAGACACGACCCAGACUCAUACGGCAGGAAGCAGUGGAGAAUAUUGCACAAUGGGCGACAGCAGGAAGCAGGGACGCCGCGUGGGGGAUGACGGCCUUCGGGUUGUAAAACUCUUUCAGCAGGGAAGAAGCGACAGGAACGGUACCAGCAGAAGAAGCACCGGCAAAUUACGU
rnacentral:rRNA from 1 species